rnacentral:rRNA from 1 species
GAUGAACGCUGGCGGUAUGCUUAACACAUGCAAGUCGAACGGACUCUUCGGAGUUAGUGGCGGACGGGUGAGUAACGCGUGAGAAUCUGGCUUUGGGUUCGGGACAACCACUGGAAACGGUGGCUAAUACCGGAUGUGCCGAGAGGUAAAAGAGAAAUUGCCUGAAGAUGAGCUCGCGUCUGAUUAGCUAGUUGGUGAGGUAAAGGCUCACCAAGGCAGCGAUCAGUAGCUGGUCUGAGAGGAUGACCAGCCACACUGGGACUGAGACACGGCCCAGAAUCCUACGGGAGGCAGCAGUGGGGAAUUUUCCGCAAUGGGCGAAAGCCUGACGGAGCAAUACCGCGUGAGGGAAGAAGGCUCUUGGGUUGUAAACCUCUUUUCUUAGGGAAGAACAAAAUGACGGUACCUAAGGAAUCAGCAUCGGCUAACUCCGUG